CUGUCUCAGCCUCCCAAAGUGUUGGGAUUACAGGCAUGAGCCACCGUGCCUGGCCUGCAGUUAAACAUUCCCCCACAAAAUACUGGGCCACACCGAGGCAAGUGUGAAAGUUGCAGCCCUGGGUAUGUGUGACCUGAGAGCCCCUUGGCAGCCAUGGGGAGGGAUGGGGGAAGCUGGGGCAAUGGGAAGGGGCCUAGGCACACGAGCCCUCGGGUCCUCACCUCCCAUGAGGCAGGGUCCCAGGCUGCCUCUACUCAAGAUCUGCUGUACUUCACCAGAGCUGGGAUCUAAGGAGACAGAAUGAAGCCAGGGGGCAGAAUGUUUCUGUUUCUGGCUGAAACCUGUGCCCUGCGUCCCUCAUGGACUGGGGACCUGGAGUUCCCGGAGACCACCGUGGGGAAAUGCGUCCCAGCACUAAUGGUCCCCAGCAGCUGCAGUCACGGGGUUUGGGCGCUCUCCCCUCCUGAUUUGGGGGACCUUUUGUGCUCCUCUGGGCAGAGGGAGGAGGCAGAGGGAGGAGGAAGGCCCUUCACUGUGGGCUGAGUCCUUCCCACCUUCCAUACCAGCCCAGCAGGAAGCCACUGCGGGAUGCCCCAGAGGACAGCCUGAUGGUUGGGGGAGAGGGUUCUCCCGCCCUCACCCCUCC
rnacentral:lncRNA from 1 species